UGGGGAAUAUUGGGCAAUGGGCGAAAGCCUUACCCAGCAAUGCCGCGUGAGUGAUGAAGGUCUUCGGAUUGUAAAGCUCUUUGAUUAGGGACGAAGAAAGUGACGGUACCUAAAGAACAAGCCCCGGCUAACUACGUGCCAGCAGCCGCGGUAAUACGUAGGGGGCAAGCGUUGUCCGGAAUGACUGGGCGUAAAGGGUGUGUAGGCGGUUUUACAAGUUAGAUGUGAAAUACCCAGGGCUUAACUCGGGUGCUGCAUCUAAGACUGUGUUUCUUGAGUGCAGGAGAGGAAAGCGGAAUUCCUAGUGUAGCGGUGAAAUGCGUAGAUAUUAGGAGGAACACCAGUGGCGAAGGCGGCUUUCUGGACUGUAACUGACGUUGAGGCACGAAAGUGUGGGGAGCAAACAGGAUUAGAUACCCUGGUAGU
rnacentral:rRNA from 1 species